AGCACUUUUACCAAAAUGUGCUGACAGAUGUAAGUCCGACGUGUUUCACAUGCACGGCCUCAACCAAGGCUUUGGGAUUAC
rnacentral:ncRNA from 1 species